ensembl:lncRNA
UGUUCAGCCAUGCAGGCUGUGGCUUCUGAAACCCCUCUUCUCUUAUCAGUCUCUUCCUCCUCUCUCACUGGCUGAGGAUUCCCUGACUGGCUCUAUCCAAGCUGCAUUUAAUUGAAGGGUGCCAGGUUGUAACCACCUAGCAAGCAGGGCUAAUUAGCUCAGAAAGCUGUACUGGAGCAGGAGACUCACACAGCUACACCGCUGUCUGACGGACUGACUGGAAGAUUGAAACACAGAACUAGAUCUCCGGUGGAGGAGAGAGGGUGAGAGAGGGAGAGGAGACAUUUACAGGCGACUGUGUGUGAGAGAAUGAGAGAGAAGAGAGAGAGUUAGAAACAGCAGCAAGACUCAGAGUGUGAGAGGUGGAGAAAUAGGAGGGGAGAGGUGGGGAGGGGAAGGGAGGAAACGGGAAAUGCAAAGCCAAGUGAGGGAGAGCGACGGGAAGUCUGCAGCAGCAAAUAAGACUGAGGAACGAAACAGGAGAGGUAAAGAGAGAAGGAGAGAGAGAGAAGGGAUAGGGGAGGGAGGGAGGUGGAAAAGAGGGGCCACGAGCAGGAGAGAGGGCUGCAGGGUGAAGGAGUGAGAGAAAAGUUAGAAAAGUGAGAGAGGGGGUCAGGGGAAAGAAAGAAAAGAACAUAGAGAAAAACAAGUAUAGGAGAGAAAGGGAAACAAGAGGCAGGAAGAAAGGGGGGAGGGAAGUCUUAGGUAAGAAAAAAAGAGCAGAGCUGAAAAAAAGUUUUGUUUUGCGGUGGAGUCAGUCAUAGAUGAGGAAAACAGCUUGAGUGAAUGGCUAGUUUGGAGUUGAAGAGCAGCGUGGAGGAGGAGGAGGGGAGGAGAAGGAAACCAGUUGUUGUUUAAGGCGUUUUCCACAGCAGCCUCUACUCUAGACGGACUGUUUUCAUUCUGACAUGUACUCAGACAGCACACGGACGGGACGCUAUAGAUUCAUUCAUCAAAACACAGACGACUAUUGCUACUGCUUUCACUGUGUCCAAUACGGACCCACGCUGUACCAGGGUGGACCAGGGGGGUACAGACCACCACCCACACACCCAGACCACCCAGAGUUGGACCUCAGAGGAGACAUCAGCCUUCCUCCUUUCCCUGUGGAGCCAGAGGAUAUAAAACCUGGACUAGAGAAGUGUGAGAGAGGAGGUGAAGGAAGAGGAGAUAGUGGAGGGGGAGAAGGUGGAGAAGGAGAAGGUGAAGGAAGUGGUGCUAAAGCUGGAGCUGGAUGGGGUGUAAGUGGUCACAGUGCCCCACAGAGGAGGCCAGUGUUCACCGGGCCGGGUCAGUACGGUCAACCUCAGCCAGGCCAGUUUAGCCCCAGCCACCCCUGGAACUACAACCCUGCCCAGUGGAGCUGCCCAGCGGAGCCUGGCCUGGGUCUGAGAUUCUACUCCCCUGUGAAAGAACAGUGUGGCUAUGUGGGACAGGGUGGAGGUGGCGCUGCUGGGACAGGGACCGGUACACACCCCUUCAACAGCAACAGAAACGCGUCAGCCUCAUCACUCCCUCUGGACCCGGCACACACACAGUUCAGGGGUCAGCGGUCCAAACACAGGCAGUCUAGCUACAGCUACGGUCCUGAGAAACAGAUCUGGGAUCAGUCAAAAUACAGGCCAGAAAGACAGGCUAGCUAUAGUACACAGGAGAAACACAGACAGGCUAGUCUCGGUUCAGAAAAGCAGGUCUGGGGUCAGUCGAACCACAGGCUAGAAAGACAGAAUAGCUUCAGUCCAGAAGACAAGCUGACACACCGACAGACUAGCUACGGUCCAGAACAACAGGUCUGGGGUCAGUUGAAACACAGACAGACUAGCUACAGCUACAGUCCAGAGGAACAGGUCUGGGGAUGUGCUGGAGAUGAACACGAUCAUUUGGACAGGUGUGUACCGCUUGAACAAGGAGAUUUACACCCUCACAUGCCAAAUGGACAUAGUGGUGGUGGUGGUCCCAGCCCCAGGCAUGUGUACUCUCAGGGCGUGGGAGAUAGAACUAACUACCAGGAGAGGACUGCUAGAUUAAAGGCUGGGGGAGCUGUAGGUGGGGCAGGAGUGGACAGCUGUAAUGGACGACAUGUCCCUGCUGGCUCUGGCUCUGUUCAGAAGACUUUCUUUUCCACUGAAGUCCCCCAGAAACAGUUGGUCAGCCAGCCCAGGCAGAGGAGUCAUUGUGGGCCUGGCCUUGGCCAUAGAACCCCAAGUCAUGGAGCUACUGGCCCAGUGCAUGGAGCCACUAUAGGCAGGGAAGGGAGAUUCAACCAAAGGGCAAAACAGCCAGCAAGCCAGGGGGUUUACCAGAACCAGGGAGGAGACCCAGACUCAGACCCCCAGAGACAGAGGGGGAAGCAGAACGAAGGUCAGGGUUCAGUCCGGGAAAACCAGGGUUCAGUCUGGGAGAACCAGUGUCAUGUCCGGGAAAACAAGGGUUCUGUCCGGCAGAAGGAGGGCUCGGUUCGGGAGCAGAUCAGACAGGUGGUGUCAGACCUGGAGGGGGUCCUGGGUGGUCUCAAACAGGUCCACGUGGAGAUGAAGGAGGUGGUCCAACAGAUUGAUCUGCUGACAGCUAACAUUGACCUGGAAGAGGAAGAGGGAUCAUGUAACAGUUCCCCUCAUGGUGGUGACGCCCUCCCCAACCCCAGAGACUGCAGAGGAGUCCUGAUGUAUAAUAAGAAGACUAGUACUGGAGAGCAGAUGUAUUCCCACAAGAUUAGGACUGUUGACCUGAAGACUAAUGGAGACCAGGGAUUACUGUACAGAGACCCUGACCAUACUGUCACCAUACAAACUACCUCUCCGUCCCAUGUACUCACCGCAUCAGUCAUCAAAACCAACCGGGUUGGGGUCACAGCCCUGAGCCCGAGCCCUUCCAAAGACUCCAAACAGGAAAGACGGGAGCUUAACAAAGACCCUCCUAUACCUGGCCCUUCCAGAGACAUAAACCAUGUGACCCAGACCCCUGGGCUAGAACAGAUCCCCUCCCUACCCCUACCCUUACGGACUCACACCCCUAUCCCCACAGCCAUGGUUGGAUACAGUGUCCCGUCUCGUAAGAGUCAGAAACCAUCACUGUACCCCCACCCCAACGGACGGGUGGAGAGGCUUAAUGAGGGUCUGGCUCCACCACCCUACCCGGUCCAGUCAGCCCUGCCGGUCCUGCCCCACCUGGCCCAGCCACCCGACCCUACCCACCCUAACCACCCUGCCCUGUCUCCCAGUGCCCUGAAGACACCCCCAUACCUGGAGAAAAGCAGACCAAGAUCAAGCAUGGUGUGAGAGGACAGCAUCACUGCCGUGGGGGCCGGGAACAUAUAGGACAAGGACAGACCUACACUGAGAGGCAGUCUGAGAGGGACUGACCAGGGACAGCUCGUGGUAAGUGUGUUUGUGUGUGUGUCUGCUUAUGUUGUCACUUGGGUUCUGGUGAUGGGGGAAAAACUCUAUACAGUU